AGUGAACGCUGGCGGUAGGCCUAACACAUGCAAGUCGAACGGCAGCACAGUAAGAGCUUGCUCUUACGGGUGGCGAGUGGCGGACGGGUGAGGAAUACAUCGGAAUCUACUUUUUUGUGGGGGAUAACGUAGGGAAACUUACGCUAAUACCGCAUACGACCUACGGGUGAAAGCAGGGGAUCUUCGGACCUUGCGCGUUUGAAUGAGCCGAUGUCGGAUUAGCUAGUUGGCGGGGUAAAGGCCCACCAAGGCGACGAUCCGUAGCUGGUCUGAGAGGAUGAUCAGCCACACUGGAACUGAGACACGGUCCAGACUCCUACGGGAGGCAGCAGUGGGGAAUAUUGGACAAUGGGCGCAAGCCUGAUCCAGCCAUACCGCGUGGGUGAAGAAGGCCUUCGGGUUGUAAAGCCCUUCUGUUGGGAAAGAAAAGCAGCAGGUUAAUACCCCGCUGUUCUGACGGUACCCAAAGAAUAAGCACCGGCUAACUUCGUG
rnacentral:rRNA from 1 species